UGGCGGCACUAGCGCGGUGGUCCCACCUGACCCCAUGCCGAACUCAGAAGUGAAACGCCGUAGCGCCGAUGGUAGUGUGGGGUCUCCCCAUGUGAGAGUAGGGAACUGC
rnacentral:rRNA from 1 species